rnacentral:rRNA from 1 species
UGGGGAAUAUUGCACAAUGGAGGGAACUCUGAUGCAGCGACGCCGCGUGAACGAAGAAGGCUUUCGAGUCGUAAAGUUCUUUUAUAUGGGAAGAUAAUGACGGUACCAUAAGAAGAAGCCCCGGCUAACUACGUGCCAGCAGCCGCGGCAAUACGUAGGGGGCUAGCGUUGUCCGGAAUCACUGGGCGUAAAGGGUUCGCAGGCGGAAAUGCAAGUCAGGUGUAAAAGGCAGUAGCUUAACUACUGUAAGCAUUUGAAACUGCAUAUCUUGAGAAGAGUAGAGGUAAGUGGAAUUUUUAGUGUAGCGGUGAAAUGCGUAGAUAUUAAAAAGAAUACCGGUGGCGAAGGCGACUUACUGGGCUCAUUCUGACGCUGAGGAACGAAAGCGUGGGUAGCAAACAGG